UGGGGAAUUUUGGACAAUGGGCGAAAGCCUGAUCCAGCAAUGCCGCGUGUGUGAAGAAGGCCUUCGGGUUGUAAAGCACUUUUGUCCGGAAAGAAAUCCUUGGCUCUAAUACAGUCGGGGGAUGACGGUACCGGAAGAAUAAGCACCGGCUAACUACGUGCCAGCAGCCGCGGUAAUACGUAGGGUGCAAGCGUUAAUCGGAAUUACUGGGCGUAAAGCGUGCGCAGGCGGUUUGCUAAGACCGAUGUGAAAUCCCCGGGCUCAACCUGGGAACUGCAUUGGUGACUGGCAGGCUAGAGUAUGGCAGAGGGGGGUAGAAUUCCACGUGUAGCAGUGAAAUGCGUAGAGAUGUGGAGGAAUACCGAUGGUGAAGGCAGCCCCCUGGGCCAAUACUGACGCUCAUGCACGAAAGCGUGGGGAGCAAACAGGAUUAGAUACCCUGGUAGUCCACGCCCUAAACGAUGUCAACUAGUUGUUGGGGAUUCAUUUCCUUAGUAACGUAGCUAACGCGUGAAGUUGACCGCCUGGGGAGUACGGUCGCAAGAUUAAAACUCAAAGGAAUUGACGGGGUCAUAGCUGUUU
rnacentral:rRNA from 1 species